GAUGAACGCUGGCGGCGUGCCUAACACAUGCAAGUCGAACGGAGAUUACGGACGGAAGUUUUCGGAUGGAAGCCUGUAAUUCUUAGUGGCGGACGGGUGAGUAACGCGUGGGCAACCUGCCCUAUACAGGGGGAUAGCAGCUGGAAACGGCUGGUAAGACCGCAUAAGUCGGUUAAAUCGCAUGAUUUGAUCGGGAAAUGAGCAAUCAGGUAUAGGAUGGGCCCGCGUCCGAUUAGCCAGUUGGCAGGGUAAAAGCCUACCAAAGCGACGAUCGGUAGCCGGACUGAGAGGUCGGACGGCCACAUUGGGACUGAGACACGGCCCAAACUCCUACGGGAGGCAGCAGUGGGGGAUAUUGCGCAAUGGAGGAAACUCUGAUGCAGCGACGCCGCGUGAGUGAAGAAGUAUUUCGGUAUGUAAAGCUCUAUCAGCAGGGAAGAUGAUGACGGUACCUGACUAAGAAGCCCCGGCUAACUACGUG
rnacentral:rRNA from 1 species